rnacentral:misc_RNA from 1 species
CAAACAAAUACAAAGCUUUUUCUUUUUCUCUUUGCAAAAUAUUCAUUUCAUUCACUUCAAAAUUCUCUUCCGAUUAUUCCAGAACAGAAGCGUGUGAUUAAAUCUGGGUCUGUUGCUUCGAUCGUUGAACACAAACGCACAAAUCUCUCAGGAAAACAUAAUAAAGCUCGCUGAUCAGCCUAUCGCAGUAGAGAAGAUAGGGAUACUUGUUCAAAAAAGCUUCCAAGGUACUUCACGUUCAAAAGAAAUAUCUUUAAGCUGCAAAGACCAAAAGUUUCAGCAUACAAGGGUUGAGGUAAGUAUCUCUCUCUCUUACCACAAACUGGCCAUAGACUAGUCCUCUGGCCUGUGGCAUGUUCAUCAUGUAUUUUUUCCAUGUUGUUUUAUCCCAGAAAUAGAUCAAAGAUGGCAAAAACACAAAUUCACGCUCAAUCACAACAAAAUUCUAAAACACAAAUUCACGCUCAAACGAAAUUUAAACACACGAAAACAUAACACAAACACACUUCCAAACGCAUGCAUAUUCAAAAGAAAAAAGAAAACACAAUUCACGCUCAAUCACAGAAAAAAUCUAACUCAAACAGUAAAACUAAACAAUAGGAACAAAAAACUUCACAUUCCACGAAUUGAUGUGUAACUUGCAGGGAAGAGUCCUCUUCUGAUUCCCAGUUUAUGGAGGAACCAUGGACGGUAGAUUGGAUGACAUGGUCUUGUGAUGCUCGAAACUCGAUUAUUCUCGAACCAAUCAUUCUACCGAGCUUUUCUUCUUACAAGUCAAAUCAGACCAAUUCUGCAAAAAGCUUAACCUCUGUCAAGAAGUGACGGCCCUUGCUUCAGACUGUCACCAAACUCAAGGAUCCUGAGACAAAGCUGAAACUCCGCAUAUCUCUCAAGGUAUCCAGUCGCUAAACAAUUACCAGGAAAAGUGCUUGAAGGUGGUGUUUGAGUACGGCCUCUGAUGCUUGCGGAAGUUUCCCCAGGGGAAUCAACAUAAUACACACAGAAAAAGGCUCUGGUUGUGGAUGACAGUAACAGAAUCCCCUAAUCUUGAGCCUCAGUGAUAAGAUGGCCAAAAUCUCGUGAAUAUGGGAGACCAAGCAUUCUUUUAGUGCAUCCUGUUAAGGUAAUUUGAUUUGACGGUAACAUGUUUCUUCCUGUUAAAUAUUCGUUUUAUUUUUAACAAGGGUUCUUUGGUGACCAAAGAACUCUUGAUAAAGGGUUUCAAGAUGAAGGAGUGUUUAGCUGCAAAGAAGAUCUGAAGACCAUUCAAAGGUAUGGUGAUUGAUGAAGUAGCUCACUCUCUCUCUCUCUCUCAAUCUUUCUCUCUCUCACUUAUCACAUCUCUUGCACUGUCUCAAAAACAGAACAUAAAUUCACGAAAACACACGCUCAAAUGCACACAAAAAAAUGAAACACAAACACAACUUAAACUCACUAAGACACAACGAAAUUCAAACACACAAAACCAAAACAUAGCACAGAACGUCCAAACAACUUCCAAAACAGAAAGCAAACUUUUACAAAAAUUCUUUAACCAAAAGUGUGGAUAAUCAUAUUUGAUGUCAAGAACUUGCUUUGUGAAUGUUCCACAUUUCUUACUCUUUUUUAAUAUAUUGCCUUAGAAUAGCUUCUAUUAACUUAUUUCUUGGUAAAUGGUUUCAUGAGAAAGAGGAAAUGUCUCAGAUGCGUUUCAACGUACUCAUGAAUGAUAAGGGGUGUAGUUAUAAUCUUCUAUUUUCAGAUGAUAGCUCCCACCGGUUCUGCCUCAAGAUUAGAGAAUGAAUAUAACUUAGUGUGAGCCUGCUGAUGUAUCUGUUAAGGAGUUGGUAAAUAGACUUGCUGAUGUAUCUAUUAAGGAGUUGGUAAAGAGACUUGAAGAAGGACUAACAACACUUAAAGACGUCAGUGAAAAAUUAAAAGUCUUGUGAAUAUGGGAGAGCCAAGCAUUUUCAUGUUAAGGUUAAAAGUAUGAAUGAGAAGCAACGGAUGUAACAGAGCAGCAAAGAAUCUUGGUGUAGCUGAGAACAAGUGACUCUUGGAUGACGUAACUGAGUUAGUUACGGUAACUCUCUCUUGCUCUCUCUCUCUUCAAAAAAACACAUCCAAAAAUGUUCCUUACACAACGAACAAAAAAAAAACACUAAACACCACCAAAAAAAAAAAAAAAACAUUAAACUUAAAAAUGCAAAAAUAAACUCCACAACUCACGAUCACGUAAAUUCAACAAAAUCAUGAUAACAUAAAUUCUUGAAAUUCAACAUAAACAAAAAAACAUUAAUUUAAACACAUGUAAAAAUACAAUAAAAAUGCUUAAAAUAAACUCCAUAUUUUCACGAUCACAUAAAUAAAUCAUAAACAAACAAAAAAACAUUAUUUUUAAAACACACGCAACAAGUAAAUACAAAAAUACAAUAAAAAAUAAACAUAAAUUCCACAAAUUCACAAACAAGUAAAUUAAAUCAUAAACAAAAAAAUAUUAAUUUAAACACAGGCAAAAAUACAAUAAAAUACUAAAAUAAACUCCACAUCUUCACGAUCACAGAAAUUAAUCAUAAACAAACAAAAAUACAUUAUCUUUAAAACACACACAACAAGUAAACACAAAAAAUACGAGAAAAAUGCAAAAAUAAAUUCCACAACUUCAUGAUCACAUAAGUUCCACAAAAUCACGAUAAUAGAAACUCCACAAAUUCACGAUCACGUAAAAGGAAAUACAAAAGUACAAGAAAAUUGCAAAAAUACACUUUACAACUUCAUAAUCACAGAAAUUCCACAAAUUCACGAUUACAAGAGUUUGCUUAGGCAUGAUUAUAACCGUAUUUCGGUUUGUAACCGAACUGUCUUUAAAUAAUAACUAGUUUGUAAACGUAUCAAGCGGUUAAAAAACCUUAACCGUUAACCAUAAAAGUAUUAGCUAUGGACUAUGGUUAAAAAUACACUAACUUUUAAUUAACCAUACAGUCAAAACCUUACAAAUAUAUUGUAAAUGUGUAUAAUGCAAAGACAAUGAUCGAAUGUUCCGAUAAUUUUUUUUUUCUUAAUGAUAAUGCAUAUGUAAAGAUCUAUGUUAAAG